rnacentral:rRNA from 1 species
GGGUUGUGAGGUUAAGUGACUAAGCGUACACGGUGGAUGCCUAGGCAGUCAGAGGCGAUGAAGGGCGUGCUAAUCUGCGAAAAGCGUCGGUAAGGUGAUAUGAACCGUUAUAACCGGCGAUACCCGAAUGGGGAAACCCAGUGUGUUUCGACACACUAUCAUGUCAUGAAUACAUAGUGGCAUGAGGCGAACCGGGGGAACUGAAACAUCUAAGUACCCCGAGGAAAAGAAAUCAACCGAGAUUCCCCCAGUAGCGGCGAGCGAACGGGGAGGAGCCCAGAACCUGAAUCGGCUUGUGUGUUAGUGGAAGCGUCUGGAAAGUCGCGCAGCAAAGGGUGAUAGCCCCGUACACUAAAAUGCACAGGUCGUGAGUUCGAUGAGUAGGGCGGGACACGUGACAUCCUGUCUGAAUAUGGGGGGACCAUCCUCCAAGGCUAAAUACUCCUGACUGACCGAUAGUGAACCAGUACCGUGAGGGAAAGGCGAAAAGAACCCCGGCGAGGGGAGUGAAAUAGAACCUGAAACCGUGUACGUACAAGCAGUGGGAGCACCUUCGUGGUGUGACUGCGUACCUUUUGUAUAAUGGGUCAGCGACUUAUAUUUUGUAGCAAGGUUAACCGUAUAGGGGAGCCGUAGGGAAACCGAGUCUUAACUGGGCGACUAGUUGCAAGGUAUAGACCCGAAACCCGGUGAUCUAGCCAUGGGCAGGUUGAAGGUUGGGUAACACUAACUGGAGGACCGAACCGACUAAUGUUGAAAAAUUAGCGGAUGACUUGUGGCUGGGGGUGAAAGGCCAAUCAAACCGGGAGAUAGCUGGUUCUCCCCGAAAGCUAUUUAGGUAGCGCCUCGUGAACUCAUCUUCGGGGGUAGAGCACUGGUUUCGGCUAGGGGGCCAUCCCGGCUUACCAAACCGAUGCAAACUCCGAAUACCGAAGAAUGUUAUCACGGGAGACACACGGCGGGUGCUAACGUCCGUCGUGAAGAGGGAAACAACCCAGACCGCCAGCUAAGGUCCCAAAGUCAUGGUUAAGUGGGAAACGAUGUGGGAAGGCAUAGACAGCCAGGAUGUUGGCUUAGAAGCAGCCAUCAUUUAAAGAAAGCGUAAUAGCUCACUGGUCGAGUCGGCCUGCGCGGAAGAUGUAACGGGGCUAAACCAUGCACCGAAGCUGCGGCAGCGACGCUUAGGCGUUGUUGGGUAGGGGAGCGUUCUGUAAGCCGUUGAAGGUGGCCUGUGAGGGUUGCUGGAGGUAUCAGAAGUGCGAAUGCUGACAUAAGUAACGAUAAAGCGGGUGAAAAGCCCGCUCGCCGGAAGACCAAGGGUUCCUGUCCAACGUUAAUCGGGGCAGGGUGAGUCGACCCCUAAGGCGAGGCUGAAAAGCGUAGUCGAUGGGAAACAGGUUAAUAUUCCUGUACUUGGUGUUACUGCGAAGGGGGGACGGAGAAGGCUAGGCUAGCCGGGCGACGGUUGUCCCGGUUUAAGCGUGUAGGGGGUGUGACCUGGUAAAUCCGGUUGCAUACUAACCCUGAGGCGUGAUGACGAUGCACUACGGUGCAGAAGUAGUUGAUGCCCUGCUUCCAGGAAAAUCCUCUAAGCUCCAGGUAACAUUAAAUCGUACCCCAAACCGACACAGGUGGUCAGGUAGAGAAUACCAAGGCGCUUGAGAGAACUCGGGUGAAGGAACUAGGCAAAAUGGUGCCGUAACUUCGGGAGAAGGCACGCUGGCAUGUAGGUGAAGUCCCUCGCGGAUGGAGCUGAAGCCAGUCGAAGAUACCAGCUGGCUGCAACUGUUUAAUAAAAACACAGCACUGUGCAAACACGAAAGUGGACGUAUACGGUGUGACGCCUGCCCGGUGCUGGAAGGUUAAUUGAUGGGGUCAGCCGCAAGGCGAAGCUCUUGAUCGAAGCCCCAGUAAACGGCGGCCGUAACUAUAACGGUCCUAAGGUAGCGAAAUUCCUUGUCGGGUAAGUUCCGACCUGCACGAAUGGCGUAAUGAUGGCCAGGCUGUCUCCACCCGAGACUCAGUGAAAUUGAACUCGCUGUGAAGAUGCAGUGUACCCGCGGCAAGACGGAAAGACCCCGUGAACCUUUACUAUAGCUUGACACUGAACAUUGAGCCUUGAUGUGUAGGAUAGGUGGGAGGCUUUGAAGCGUGGACGCCAGUCUGCGUGGAGCCAUCCUUGAAAUACCACCCUUUAAUGUUUGAUGUUCUAACUCGGCCCCGUAAUCCGGGGUGAGGACAGUGUCUGGUGGGUAGUUUGACUGGGGCGGUCUCCUCCCAAAGAGUAACGGAGGAGCACGAAGGUUAGCUAAUCACGGUCGGACAUCGUGAGGUUAGUGCAAAGGCAUAAGCUAGCUUGACUGCGAGAGUGACGGCUCGAGCAGGUACGAAAGUAGGUCUUAGUGAUCCGGUGGUUCUGAAUGGAAGGGCCAUCGCUCAACGGAUAAAAGGUACUCCGGGGAUAACAGGCUGAUACCGCCCAAGAGUUCAUAUCGACGGCGGUGUUUGGCACCUCGAUGUCGGCUCAUCACAUCCUGGGGCUGAAGUAGGUCCCAAGGGUAUGGCUGUUCGCCAUUUAAAGUGGUACGCGAGCUGGGUUUAGAACGUCGUGAGACAGUUCGGUCCCUAUCUGCCGUGGGCGUUGGAAGAUUGAGAGGGGUUGCUCCUAGUACGAGAGGACCGGAGUGAACGCACCACUGGUGUUCGGGUUGUCAUGCCAAUGGCAUUGCCCGGUAGCUAAGUGCGGAAAAGAUAAGCGCUGAAAGCAUCUAAGCGCGAAACUUGCCUCAAGAUGAGUCUUCCCUGGGCCUUCAAGGCCCCUGAAGGAACGUUUAAGACUAAGACGUUGAUAGGCUGGGUGUGUAAGUGCAGCGAUGCAUUGAGCUAACCAGUACUAAUGAUCCGUGAGGCUUAACCUUACAACACCGAAGGUGUUU